rnacentral:rRNA from 1 species
AACGAACGCUGGCGGCAUGCCUAACACAUGCAAGUCGAACGAGACCUUCGGGUCUAGUGGCGCACGGGUGCGUAACGCGUGGGAACCUGCCCUUAGGUUCGGAAUAACUCCCCGAAAGGGGUGCUAAUACCGGAUAAUGUCCUCGGACCAAAGAUUUAUCGCCUUUGGAUGGGCCCGCGUUGGAUUAGCUAGUUGGUAGGGUAAAAGCCUACCAAGGCGACGAUCCAUAGCUGGUCUGAGAGGAUGAUCAGCCACACUGGGACUGAGACACGGCCCAGACUCCUACGGGAGGCAGCAGUGGGGAAUAUUGGACAAUGGGCGAAAGCCUGAUCCAGCAAUGCCGCGUGAGUGAUGAAGGCCUGAGGGUUGUAAAGCUCUUUUACCCGGGAUGAUAAUGACAGUACCGGGAGAAUAAGCUCCGGCUAACUCCGUG